UCCCGGCUCAGCAUCGGGAGCGCGCUCUGUGUGGCCGCUGCCGCCAUGUUGUUGUGGUUGUGAGAAGGCGGUGGCAGGCGGCGGCGGCAGCGGUGCAGCCGGACUAGACGCUCCUGCGGCCCAGGCGCUGCCCCCCCGCCAGCCCUGGCUGGGAGCCUCGUGGGGGUGGCGGAGGAGGCCGUGCCGUGCCGAGCCUCGCCUCGCCAUGUCUUGCUCCCUGAUUUCCUUGUGAAACCUUCUGAUAGAAAAAGUUUUCAGUACAAACUUCAUUUGAUCUCAGCAUAAGAGAAAGAAGAGCUUUGCCAGACACUGAAGAAGGGACGGGGAUCUCUCGUCCUAAUCUGGGCCUCCUGUCAUGG